GCUCGUGUAGCUCAGUUGGGAGAACGCAAGACUGAAGAUCUUGAGGUCCCUGGUUCGAUCCCGGGCGCGAGUG
rnacentral:tRNA from 1 species